AUUGAACGCUGGCGGCAGGCCUAACACAUGCAAGUCGAGCGAGCGGCGGACGGGUGAGUAAUGUCUGGGAAACUGCCUGAUGGAGGGGGAUAACUACUGGAAACGGUAGCUAAUACCGCAUACCAUCAGAUGUGCCCAGAUGGGAUUAGCUAGUAGGUGGGGUAAUGGCUCACCUAGGCGACGAUCCCUAGCUGGUCUGAGAGGAUGACCAGCAACACUGGAACGGAGACACGGACCAGACUCCUACGUGAGGCAGCAGUGGGGAAUAUUGCACAAGGGGCGCAAGGCUGAUGCAGCCAUGCCGCGUGUAUGAAGAAGGCCUUCGGGGUGUAAAGUACGUUCAGCGAGGAGGCGGUACUCGCAGAAGAAGCACCGGCUAACUCCGUGCCAGCAGCCGCGGUAAUUC
rnacentral:rRNA from 1 species